UUUGAGAUAAGGUAAAGUUCCUUUUUCGUUUAUCAGAGGGUAGGGGACUUUCAGAUUAUGUAAUUUUCAUUCGAUUCCUAUGCUCGAUGUCUUUCUAUAUCUCUUGCCAUCUCCUAAUUUAGUCUGCGAAUUGCCACAAACUACCUAACUUGUUGUCUGAAACGAAGAGGAAUACGAAUCAGUUUUGGGAAGAAGAAGAAGAGGAAGAAGACGCAUUAGUCUAUUUUCUCGUCUCUCUGAGUAGCUUUCGUUGUGGAGCUCUUUCCCGCUUUGUAGCGAUGUUCGUCCUCAGAGUUCAUUCAGUUGACUUGGAGCGAACAAUUUCCAUCGAAGAAGAAGCCACAGGUUUUACCUACGCAUUGAAGAGAUCUCAGCCUCCUCUUAAACUCAUACAACCAUCAUCAUCUCUCAAAAUCACCGUACGCAAAGGUCUGAUCCAUUUCUACCGGAACUCUUCUCACAGCUCCCUCUCUAACCCUAGAUUCCGAUCCACCACUCUCUUUAUCGUCGAUCCAAAUUACUUUUCCACCCUCGAUUUUAUCCGAUUCUGCGAUUCCCGCAUCGCUAAUGUCUCCGAGAUCCUAUUCAUCAGACAGAUGGUGCACUCUUCAUUUUCUUCUUCUGCGGUUGGACGUCUUUUAGAAGUCUCUAGAUCGUGAAUGAGGACGUCGAUGUCUAAUCUCGCAAUGGCAUGGAGGGAGAAAUCUGUGAUUGUGAAACUUAGAAGAAUAGACCUACCUGUUGGAGGUUCUGCCAUUCGAACUGCAUUGAAGAAGGGAAGCUGAUCUGGCGAAAUUGUAGUCGUGUUGGUGUAAAUCAGGAAACCAAAUCGAGAAUAAAGAAGAAGUUGUUAUGUCUGGUUUACAGAAACAUGGCUAAUGGAAGUUUACAUAAGAUCCUUCUGAUGUUUAGGCAUAUCAUUGAAGUCCAUGAGUGAUCGUUCAUGUUGGUGGAGGAUUUGUUCUAUCUCGAUCAAAGUAUAAUGUUGCAGCUCAUCCUCUUUGAAACUCAUGGUGGGAAAUCCAAAAGCUCGCCGUUGCUUGUCAGCCACUGAUUGUCGACCUUCAAGAUGGAUAAUCAAUUUCUUUACCGAAGGCUUCCUUUGGUGUAUGUGAAAUGCAAAAAUGCGCCACAUAGCUUCACAAGCAGAGAGAUAUCGACAGUCUAGACUUUGUUUGCCAUGCAAGGAGACGAUGGCCUAUCCAUUCCACAAGGUCCAUGCAUCAUGUGCUUUUCCACCAGUUCAAAUCCAAGUGGGUCUUCAUUUUUGUUGGGUAGUUCCGCAGAAAUGAUUGCAUUUAUUUGGCCAGGGCUUGGUUGUUUCGGUGUGUUAUCUAACCAUAGAAGUAUAUGAGCAUGUGGGAGGCCACGUUUCUGGAACUCAAUGGUGUGUAGCACUGAAUGAAAUGUGAAAAGCAUGUCUUUCAAGAGUUCAUCGAGUUUCAUUUUGAAGACACGACAUUCAAUAUCAGGUCAGCUCUUAACUGUUCUUGGUUGUCUUUUGCCCAGCGAAGUCUUUCUUGCUCAAUGACUGUGUAUACAUCAACAACAUACUGGUGAAAUAAGCGUCCUGACUUUAUGAUUGUCAUUCCUUCCGCCAGUCUUGUUUGGAUUUGGUAAGCAUAGAACUCUCUGAUACUUAUGUAUGUCCUUCUUCUUUCGCCAUUUUGUGUGACUGCAUGGGGUUUCUGUGUGAAACCCAAAUUCGCCAAAAGGAAACAACAAUGGAUAUUGCAAGCUCAUGAACAAAGGAUGAUCGUCCCUAAUUUCUUGCAAGUGGCCUGUCUGCAAUUCCAAGAUUACAUCUCUGUAAGCGGUAGUAGCAGUUAUAUCUCCCACAAUAAGACCCGCAACUUCUUUCACUUGAGGUAAAUCAUACUGCUUACCUUUACUUCUUUGACCAACCAAUCUCAUUCUUAAGUCUUGGACUUCUUUUGCUUUGUAUCUAUCUCUUGCUUUCCGGAAGAACAUACACAAACAAUUGUGUUCAUCUAACAUCUUAAGCAAGCCGACAACUAUAUCCUCUUGAAGGUC